rnacentral:lncRNA from 1 species
AAAGGAAGAAAAGAAGACACAAACCCUAGGUGGAAAAAUUCAAGGGAAAAGUGUGAAAAUUCAAGUAAUCAAGCAAUCAAAGGUAAAAUUUCUUGAUUUUGACUUGUGAUAUACCUUUCCCAUGCAUUAUUUUGCAUUUUCCAUGGUUGAAUCACAAGAUAUCAUGAAGGAUUCAUGGCUGACCGAAUUUAGAGAGAGAAGAUUUGAUGAUUUAUUUGGUUAGAUUUUGAGAUAUUUUAGUGUUUAUAGUUGAUUUAUCAUGUUUGGAA